UUCAUCGUAUCCCUUACGUGAGCGAUUCGCAUGGCUUCUCGAUCAAAUAACUUCGCAGAAUCGUAACGUUGCGUUCAAUCCGGUGAAUCCUCCGGCCUGAUUUCCAAUCCCGUACGGGACGUUGUUGGUCCACGUGAAAGUGAAAUGAAACCGGUUCUAAAGUGUGUCUGGGUGCGCUCCUUGUGCCCCCACCCCGUGUUUUGUGAAGUACCGCAAAUGUGCUCCCAAAAAAAGCUGGGAAAGCGCGCUGAAUUCGGAUAAUCCAACGAUCUAUCAAAGCCCAAUGAUUGGAGUGGAACGGACACAUUAAAAACAACUCUUGGCAGUGACUUAGCUGGCUAGCUGGAAACAACCGAAUCGAGAAGAGAAUUGUAAGCAAUCGGGAUAGUUUGAUGGUGAGACUAGUAGAAAGGAUUUAAGAAGAAACAUCGGAGAAGUUGUAGCUAAAAGUUAAGAGAAGGGCUUCAAGUGGGCGGCCAUCUUUGUGAUCGAAAGAGUCAAAUUCUAUUAAAUAUUGCUCGGAAAGUGUCACGUGGGUCGCCAAAUGGAGAAACUAAGCAUACAAAUGUGUGAAAGUCUUAUGACAUAGAUGAGAUGCGCCGUUGGAACGAGCCAUGGAAAACCGUUUCGCUGAAAAAGCGGGUUAAGGAUGCAUUCGCCAGCACCACCACACACCACCACCACGACGACGCAUAGCCAACAACAGCAGCAAGAUCUUAUCCGAAACCGAACUGUCGGGCACUCUCCCGGACCACUUAGUAGCCGAAGCCAAGGCGCGGACGCCUUUGAUUGGAUCAACCUGUGUCUGGGCGGGGUGAGUUUUACCGGCUGAUGAUAGUCUUCUUGAAUGUGGUUCAGUUGCUGGAGUAGGGAAAGGG